rnacentral:rRNA from 1 species
CGACGGGUAUCCGGCCUGAGAGGGUGUACGGACACAUUGGGACUGAGAUACGGCCCAGACUCCUACGGGAGGCAGCAGUGGGGAAUAUUGCACAAUGGGCGCAAGCCUGAUGCAGCGACGCCGCGUGGGGGAUGAAGGCCUUCGGGUUGUAAACUCCUUUCGCUAUCGACGAAGCCUUCGGGUGACGGUAGGUAGAUAANAAGCACCGGCUAACUACGUGCCAGCAGCCGCGGUAAUACACAA